rnacentral:rRNA from 1 species
UACGUAGGGUGCAAGCGUUGUCCGGAAUUAUUGGGCGUAAAGAGCUCGUAGGCGGUCUGUCACGUCGGCUGUGAAAACCCGAGGCUCAACCUCGGGCCUGCAGUCGAUACGGGCAGACUAGAGUUCGGUAGGGGGAGACUGGAAUUCCUGGUGUAGCGGUGAAAUGCGCAGAUAUCAGGAGGAACACCGGUGGCGAAGGCGGGACUCUGGGCCGAUGACUGACGCUGGAGGAGCGAAAGCUGGGGAGCAAACAGG